UUUUGGGCUAUGCCUGUUGGGUAAUAAAGGAAUAUUAUUAUUAUUAUUAUUAUCAUCAUAAUCUAUAUUGACAAGGAUUUUGACACUUAACACAUCAAAAACCAAUCCUGUCAACUUGACGGUUGGAUAAUAUAGCUCCGUUUUCAUGAAACUUCAUCUGUAAUUGGGCUUCUGUUGUUGUGUUGUCACUUUAUGAUUUUCUUUCUUAAAAGCUAUUUGACGGAAAAAUGUAUAAUUUCGAUGGGAUAGCCUCAAAUUAUAUGAAAAGGUGGGUCAUCAUCAUAACCUAUACUGACGGGGAUUUUGACAUUUAAGACGUCAAAAACAAAUCCUGUCAACUUUGACGUUUGGACAAUAUAGCGCCCUUUUCAUUAAAUUUUAUCAGUAAUUUGGUUUCUGUUGUGGUGUUAUGUUGAAUCUCAUUAAAAUUUAACUGAACUAAGAUGAUAAAACAAUAAAAUGUAAGAAAAAGCUGCACAAAAUCUGUUUAAAUUCAAUCAGUUCAAGUUAUAUUUCAAGGUCAUGGAACAUUACGGCCACUCAUCGCUUUCCAACAUCAUUUUAAGGGUAUUUUAAGGGUAAUACAAUAAAAGGCAUUAAAAACA